rnacentral:rRNA from 1 species
UACGUAGGGCGCAAGCGUUGUCCGGCAUUAUUGUGCGUCACGAGCUCGUAGGCGGCCUGUUGCGUCCGCUGUGAAAUCCCGGGGCUCAACCCCGGGCCUGCAGUGGAUACGGGCUGGCUAGAGGCAGGCAGGGGAGAACGGAAUUCCUGGUGUAGCGGUGAAAUGCGCAGAUAUCAGGAGGAACACCGGUGGCGAAGGCGGUUCUCUGGGCCUGUACUGACGCUGAGGAGCGAAAGCGUGGGGAGCGAACAGG